AUGGAAGCAGUUCUGUCUGCGGCUGCAGGUGAUCUUGUUAGCAGAUUUUUCUCCUUUUUGGUAAACAUGUAUCGGGAUCCUGCACGCUUGGAGGAGAAGCAUAUGGAGAGGCUGCAGCAACUCCUACUAAGAGCUCACACAGUUGUCGAGGAGGCGGACGGGCGGUACAUCACAAACUCUGGUAUGCUUAUACAACUUAAGAUGCUAGCUAGGGCUAUGUACCAGGGUUAUCAUGUGCUAGAUACCUUCAAGUGCAACCAAGUAGUCAAAGAGAGCACUGAGGAAGUGAUGGAUAGAUCAUUGGUAUCAUAUAUUGGCACUCCGUUGAAGCGCUUUCGUGCCAACGCUGGUAUAUGGAAUCACAGAGUUGACAGCAGUUGUGACCUACAAGGUGCCUUGUUAAAUUUGGAAAGUGCCAUUUCUAAUAUCACUGAGUUUGUUAUACUUUUGAGCGGAUGCGAAUGA
rnacentral:rRNA from 1 species